rnacentral:rRNA from 1 species
CAAUAGCGUAUAUUAAAGUUGUUGCAGUUAAAAAGCUCGUAGUUGGAUUUCUGGUAGGAGUGACCGUUCCGAACUUGAUUGUUCGUGUAUUGUGCUUUCUCCAGCCAUCCUUGUGGAGAACUUUUCUUGCAUUAAUUUGUAGGGAUUGGGACCCGCAUCGUUUACUGUGAAAAAAUUAGAGUGUUUAAAGCAGGCAAUCGCUUGAAUACAUUAGCAUGGAAUAAUAAGAUAGGACUUUGGUACUAUUUUGUUGGUUUGCAUACCAAAUUAAUGAUCAACAGGAACAGUUUGAGGAUAUUCGUAUGAACAUGUCAGAGGUGAAAUUCUUGGAUUUUGAUCAGACGAACUACUGCGAAAGCAUUUAUCAAGGAUGUUUUCAUUAA